CAACCUUCCUUUUAUGGUCAUAAACCUUGUGUUUAAAUUUCAUAGAUUUCUAUUUACUUAUACUAACGUUAUGGUGUGAAAACCAAGAAAAAUGCUUAUUUGGGUCCCUUUUUGGCCCCUAAUUCCUAAACUGUUGGGACCUAAACUCCCAAAAUCAAUACCAACCUUCCUUUUGUAGUCAUUAACAUUGUGUUUAAAUUUCAUUGAUUUCUAUUUACUUAAACUAAAGUUAUUGUGCGAAAACCAAGAAUAAUGCUUAUUUGGGCC
rnacentral:lncRNA from 1 species